rnacentral:rRNA from 1 species
GUAGUCACGAGUUUGAUCAUGGCUCAGAUUGAACGCUGGCGGCAUGGCUAAAACAUGCAAGUCGAACGAUCCCUUCGGGGAGAGUGGCGAAAGGGCGAGGAAUAGAAUCGAAUGUACCCCAAGGUGGGGGAUAGCCUCUGGAAACGGAGGGUAAUACCCCAUGUGCUCUACGGAGGAAAGGUUUACCGCCUUGGGAGCAGCGAUUCUCCUAUCAGGUAGUUGGUGAGGUAACGGCUCACCAAGCCGAAGACGGGUANCGGGUGUGAGAGCAUGACCCGCCGCAUCGGGACUGAGACACUGCCCGGACUCCUACGGGAGGCUGCAGUAACGAAUCUUCCGCAAUGGGCGAAAGCCUGACGGAGCAAUGCCGCGUGUGGGAUGAAGCAUCUUCGAUGUGUAAACCACUGUCAGGGUCUAGGAAUACUGACCAGACCCAAAGGAAGGGCCGGCUAAUUCCGUG